GUGGGGAAUAUUGGACAAUGGGCGCAAGCCUGAUCCAGCCAUGCCGCGUGAGUGAUGAAGGCCCUAGGGUUGUAAAGCUCUUUCAACGGUGAAGAUAAUGACGGUAACCGUAGAAGAAGCCCCGGCUAACUUCGUGCCAGCAGCCGCGGUAAUACGAAGGGGGAUAGCGUUGUUCGGAAUUACUGGGCAUAAAGCGCACGUAGGCGGAUCGUUAAGUCGGGGGUGAAAUCCCGGGGCUCAACCCCGGAACUGCCUUCGAUACUGGCGAUCUAGAGUUCGAGAGAGGUGAGUGGAAUUCCGAGUGUAGAGGUGAAAUUCGUAGAUAUUCGGAGGAACACCAGUGGCGAAGGCGGCUCACUGGCUCGAUACUGACGCUGAGGUGCGAAAGCGUGGGGAGCAAACAGGAUUAGAAACCCGGGUAGUCC
rnacentral:rRNA from 1 species